rnacentral:rRNA from 1 species
UCUGGUGCCAGCAGCCGCGGUAAUUCCAGCUCCAAUAGCGUAUAUUUAAGUUGUUGCAGUUAAAAAGCUCGUAGUUGGAUCUCGGGGCGGGGCGAGCGGUCCGCCUCCUUUGGUGUGCACUGGUCGCUCCGCCCUUUCUGUCGGGGACACGCUCCUGGCCUUAAUUGGCUGGGACGCGGACUCGGCGAUGUUACUUUGAAAAAAUUAGAGUGCUCAAAGCAAGCCUAUGCUCUGAAUACAUUAGCAUGGAAUAACGUUAUAGGACUCUGGUCCUAUUUCGUUGGUCUUCGGGACCGGAGUAAUGAUUAAUAGGGACAGUUGGGGGCAUUCGUAUUUCAUUGUCAGAGGUGAAAUUCUUGGAUUUAUGAAAGACGAACUACUGCGAAAGCAUUUGCCAAGGAUGUUUUCAUUAAUCAAGAACGAAAGUUGGGGGCUCGAAGACGAUCAGAUACCGUCCUAGUCUCAACCAU